rnacentral:lncRNA from 1 species
AAGGUUUCUUGAGCCUUCCUAACCUUACCCUUAAAUCCACUGGAUACCAGUGCUCUUAUGAAGUUCUUAGGAAUACCAGUUACAAACCUUGCCCAUGUUUUUCUCAGAUCUCUAACCACUGUUCAUACCAAACUUUCAUUUCUUGAUAAUUAGUGAUCUCAGUUGAUGAUUCCAUAAGCAAUUUGAAUGCCCAGUAGACAAUGUUUCUGAUUGGUCAUUAAUACUUUUAAUGUAUAUUAAAUACAAUAGAUUUCUAAUUGGUGAAAUUGAAGGGAGAGAUAAGAAUGGUUCUAUUCAGUGCUUACUCUCUUCAGAACUAGAGCAAGAUAAUUUUAGCUCUGUUUUUUGGGUUUUUUUUAUGUUUUUAUAUUUGCUCCAGAUUCUUUAGAUUCUAGAAUGUUUGAUGAGGCCAAAAAAAUUAUUUUGACAAAAAUUAGGUAAAAUUUGCCUUCAUAUUUGUUUUAAAAGUUUUGUAUAUUUAAUACUCCAGGAAUGGUAAUUUAAUGCAAACAAAGGGAGAGAAUAUAGAAUGAGAUUAAGAGUUGUUAAAAUUGCUUUUUAUCAUUGGCACAGCAGGUAAAAUGAUAGUACCCCUCUUCUGGAUGAAUGGAAUGGAAGGUAAUUGUCAGGAGAAUAUGAUGUCAUUCAUAGAUUCCUUGCUAAUGGUUAGAUGUCUGUUUUACUCCUUGACAUACUCUCACUAACAAAGUAUUCAUCACUUUGAUUCUUACUAUUGGCUUGCAGUCAAUGAUCCAUCUUUAUAGAGAGAUUUUAUACCUCAUUCUCCUUUUGGUCUAUGUUUUGACAAACCAGAGAGUGCUAAUCAAAGGGAAAAAAAACCUGUAAUUUAUCUUAGUUGUAGAAUUAAUAUUUAAACACUACAUAUUUUAUUCUCAGGUACAUAAGAUUUACAUUCCUAUUUACAGGCUCAAGUGCAGUGAAAUUCAUUGAUGAUGAGAGCUAGGAAUACAACUACAACUCCCAUCCUCUCUGUUACCUUGAAUCCUCCACUGAGAAAUUGUAAAUGUCUCCCACCCUGAUUCUUUUGACUUUGUUAUGAUAUUGAAAGCAAUUUUGUACCCAACGGGGCACACUAACAGAACACAUUAUCCCCUGAAUUAUAUUUACGGUAUCAUUUUGCAUUUAAUUAUUCCAUGUCAUCCUUUGCUACUUCACUGAAGAACUGUGAAUUCUUUGUAGUCAGGCCUCAGAUAAUUUUAAAAUUGUGGUAUUUGCUUUGGUAAGAUCCUCUCUAAUAGAAAACAGGCACUCCUUUAAUCUCAUUAAACUGUCCUUUAGAUAAUUAAAAUGGUUAUAAUAUGAAAUAUUUUUUGAUGGCAAGAGAUAAUAUACCAUGCCACUUGCUAUUUAAAUAAGAUCGUGGCAUUCACAUUCAAUUUUAAAUAUGUUUAGAACAGAAUAUUCCUUACAAGAGCAAUAAAAAUCAUUAAGUUCUUUAAGCUAUUAUAGGCUACUGCUUCCAAUGUUACUCUUCACCUACACCUAUCUGUUAAUAUUUUAGGAUAAACAAUUAGAAGAUGCCAAAUAUGCACAUAUUCUUGAAGAAAAGUGUUGUAUUUUUUGUGAAAGUUAUGGUAAAAAAUGGAGAAAAUAACUAGCUCUGUUUUGCAAUUUGAGGCUUUGGAGAAUAUACCCUUGAAUGACUUACAGGAAUUAUUCAUGCAAGGUGUUCUCUUCAGCAAACGUUUGGUUGAUUGGCCAAAACUAGCAUUAUCUUGAAAGAAUUUUCAAGUGAAAUUAGACUGUCCAUUCAGAUAUCGGUUGAAAAGAUUUUGGUCCAGCCAGUCUUUCAGCAUGGAAAUUUUACAAAAUUAAUUGGAUCACUCUUAUUUUGUGAAUUGCUCUGCUCCCAAAAAGCAGACAUUCACCACAUCAGAAUCAAGAAAGAGAAAAAAGAACAGUUCCUGAUAUUCAGAAGACAGUCUGGCAUACACAUCUAGGCUAUGUUAUUUUCCCAUUAGAUAUAAACAAUUCUCACAGAGUACCAGCCUCAGAUAAGGGUAUUCCUUUUUGUUUGUUUUUGUCUUUUGUCUUUUUAGGGCCACACCCACGGCAUACUGAAGUUCCCAGGAUAGGGAUCAAAUCAGAGCUACAGCUGCCGGCUUGUGCCACAGCCAGAGCAAUGUGGGAUCCAAGCCAUGCCUGCGACCAACACCACAGCUCACAGCAACGCAGGAUCCUUAACUCACUGAGCAAGGCCAGGGAUCAAACCUGCGUCCUUAUGGAUACUAGUUGGGUUUGUUAACCACUGAGCCACGAUGGGAACUCCUAUAUAGAAUAUUGAGUAGAGUUCCUUGCAGCAGGUCCCCAUUGACCAUUCAUUCCAUAUACAAUAGUGCUUAUAUGCCAGUCCCAAACUUGCAAUCCAUCCCUCCCCACCACCUUUCCCCUUUGUGUCAUUUCUUUAGACUCCACAUAUAAGUGAUAACAUAUGAUAUUUGUCUUUUUCUAAGACAGGAUUAUUCUGAUACCAUGAUAAAAUGAAACAAAUAGAAGCCACCUCAUAAUUUUGUCUAUGCUCAGACAAAAAUCAAGAUUGUUUUAAAACUUCCAAAAUAACAAAGCACCUCCCCCAUUUUCUGGGCAAAGUAAAUGCAUAUUUCUUAACUAAUACAAUGUAAAUCUUGUGUUAGUCUCUACUUUCUGUAAAUAAAUUUUACUGAGAUAGACAAUCACAGAGUUGCUUCUACUUUCUGACAGCAUGCAGUCUAGAGGGAACACUAGCCUCCUUACAUCUUCUCUCAAAUUACCCACUCAAAGCCCCAAUCCUAAUAGGGUCUUUCUAACACCUUCUUAUGGAGACACUCCAUGGUUCACCAUAGUCUGUGUCCUCCUUUGCUAUGACAAGGGAUAAGUCCAGUUUGUUUACCUAUAGAUGUGUUUUUGGUAAUAUUUUGCUUAAGUAUAUUAAGCGAAAGUGACAGUAUUUAAGGUCAUGUGGCAGAGAAAAUAGUCAUGGUCAUCAAAUUUCUAAGUUAUGCUUACUUCUUACUUUAAACCCUCUUAUGCCUGAAAAACCAAUAAAUGCACACAUGCAUAAAACCUUCUUUAACAUUUAAACCCAGAGGAAAACAGCAGAAAUUGAUACUAAUUUACUAUCAUUAUGAGAAAUAACACCUUCAGUCAGGAAUAACAAGAGGAAAAGUGUAUAUAUAUAUACAUAGAGAUAUUUUUAAAUUCGAAGAGUAAAAUGAAUCAAUGGUAUUUUCUUAGCUUUUUUCCUUGUUUUUCUUCUAAGAACUUGAGCCUCUUUUCUGGCUGGAGGCCAAGGGAAUAGCAGAAGCAGAAGGAGGAGGGAUUGGAAUUAGAGAGACUUGACCUGCAGCUCCCGGAUAGAGGCUGCAUGAUGAGGAUUGCGACAACCUCUAGGAGCCAGGACUACAUUCAGACUGACAGUGGGCACAGAAAUGGGGACUUCAGUCCUACAACCACAAGGAGGAACUGCACCCAGCCCACAAGUUGAAUGAUCUUGUAAGUGGGUCCAGAGCCUCAUGAAAGACAUGCAGACUUGCUGGCUCAACUUCAGCUUUAUGAAACUCUAAGCAGAGAACACAGUUGUGUAAUGCUAUAUCUUGACUCUGACCUACAGAAUUGUGAGAUAAGAAAUGGGCAUUGCAUCCAACUUCUAAAUGUAUAGUAAUUUGUUAUUGCAGCAAUAGGAAACUAAAAAUUAUCUCUCAAGGUCAAGGUUAACCAAAAGAUUUUGCUUUGCACCCUUAUGGGAAUAAUAUUUUUACCAGAAAAAAAAAAAGAUGAUUCUCUAGAUCAACAUCUAUUUUUGCUUCAUAUCCCUCUUUGUUUUUCCCUAGAAUCUAUAAUUCACUUUUAUAAAUUAAAAGGUAAUAGUCUAUUUUUACUUAGAGGAUGGGAAGUAAGAAAAGUGUAUAAACCAUGCCUCAAAGAAGUAGCUAGGCAAUAUGAAAGUGUGGUAAAGGAAUAGGGCAUGUGAGAAAUUUACCCAAGUAAAAAUUAAUCUAAUUAUGUGUGUAGAUAUAAGUUUUGUUACCCCAAAGAAGUUGGCACAAGAGAGAAGAAUCUCAGAAUUGUUAUAAUGAAUUGAUGAGGAGAUGAAUGGAUCCUGAAAAAGCUAUCAGGCAUUUGAAGAUGAUGAAGGCAAGAAAGUAGGAAUAAAAUACUGACUCUUGAUAUGAGUGGCUAGAAAGUUAUCCAGUCUUCAAAAGAAGGAAUUCAUUUUGAAACAGAUAACUCUUAAACAAGAUGUGUAAUUAUUUAUGAGUAUUAGCAAACAUUUUCACAUUUAUAUAUGUGUAUUUUAAAUUAAAAAGUACAUAAAAUAUACAUAUUUUUCAUAGGAAAUUAUGUUUAUAUUAUUACUAAUUAAUAUUUUUAAUAAAUUACCAACACAGAAAAAUGUUUAAUAUACUACAAAUAUCUGAUUCUGGGGAGACCUAAACAAGCAUUUGGAAAAGGCAACAGUUGUGCCCAGUCAGACACAGCUUCCAGUUUAUUAGGGAAUCAUACAACUACUUCACAAACAGAAAAUGUUUUUAAUUUGAUUUGUCAAGAUUUAGCCUCAAUCCUUUUAUUAAUGGCUUUUGAAUUCAGUAUGUUUUCUUGCAUUCUAUAUAAGACAAAAUAAAAAUAUCCUGUUUUUCAUUUGAGUUUUUUAGAAUUUCUUGGUUUUAUAGUAAAACCUAGAAGAUCACAGUCCUCACCUUGAGUAUAUCUCCAAAUAAUUUGAAAUUUCCAAAGGGAGUAAACUCAGCUCAUAGUAUUUUGAAUCAUUUAGAGAUUUCAUUUAACUACAUGUGUAUGAAACAUCUGACUAGAAUGGUUUAAUCAACAGUAGAUUUUAUUUUUCACCCACCAUCUCUGAAAGUAGGUGGCCCAAGUCUGUUGCAAUGACUCCACAGAUUCUUAAGAGUCCCUAUCACAUGUUAUCAUUCAAUUAUGCUAUUUUUAGUAGGUGUUCUCAUGUUUGUGAAAUCUCACAAAGACAUCUCAACAUUCCCAUCCUUUUAGGAAGCAACAAACUAGAUGUGGUGGAAAAGCAGAAGUAUUCCAACCAGCUCCAGAAACAUUCUAGUUGGCCAGAAUUUUGUCACUUGAAUUACUCCUUGUAAGAAAUUUAGAGAAAUGCAACAGAUAAUCUGCACAAAUAG